rnacentral:rRNA from 1 species
UAACGUUGGCCCCUAAUCGGGGUUGCGGACAGUGUCUGGUGGGUAGUUUGACUGGGGCGGUCUCCUCCUAAAGAGUAACGGAGGAGCACGAAGGUUGGCUAAUCCUGGUCGGACAUCAGGAGGUUAGUGCAAUGGCAUAAGCCAGCUUGACUGCGAGCGUGACGGCGCGAGCAGGUGCGAAAGCAGGUCAUAGUGAUCCGGUGGUUCUGAAUGGAAGGGCCAUCGCUCAACGGAUAAAAGGUACUCCGGGGAUAACAGGCUGAUACCGCCCAAGAGUUCAUAUCGACGGCGGUGUUUGGCACCUCGAUGUCGGCUCAUCACAUCCUGGGGCUGAAGUAGGUCCCAAGGGUAUGGCUGUUCGCCAUUUAAAGUGGUACGCGAGCUGGGUUUAGAACGUCGUGAGACAGUUCGGUCCCUAUCUGCCGUGGGCGCUGGAGAACUGAGGGGGGCUGCUCCUAGUACGAGAGGACCGGAGUGGACGCAUCACUGGUGUUCGGGUUGUCAUGCCAAUGGCACUGCCCGGUAGCUAAAUGCGGAAGAGAUAAGUGCUGAAAGCAUCUAAGCACGAAACUUGCCCCG